rnacentral:lncRNA from 1 species
CGCCUCGGCCGCUCGCUUUCUCGACUCCCGCCUCGCGCCUCGAUCCUGUUCCGCCUCCCUCGGCCCUCCUGCCCGCCCCCACUCGUCGGCCCUCAGCAUUGUCUUUGAAUAUUAGCAAAUAAUGGAACAUGGGCCAAGGGUGAACCAUGACGAAUUUGUGUUCCAGCAGCCCUGCUUCUUUAGAAUUGACAGUCUGGCUUCGUGGUUAAUUCACAGCAUCUGAGGAAUACAUCCAAAGAGGGUGAUACUGUGGCAUGAUGGUACCAGGAUUCCAAGUUCAUUCCAGAGAAGAUGGCAAGAUGCAGAGAGGAGGAGUCACGCCUGAAGCCACACAGCUGACAUCAGAGCCAAAGCAUGAGCCUCAGUCUCUCUGACCCAGAGCUACCACCCUUGCUGCCUUGGGAAGAAGGAAGCCCCCUCCUAUUCUAUCCUUGAGCUGCCUUGGCAAGGAGGGGCCCCUUGCUGCCGCCAUCCUCACAGGACACCAUCCACAUGAGGGGAUGAAUCUCAGUUGCACUCAGUUGUUGCCCCCCUCGAACCUCCCUUGAGCCUCAGGAGAAACCACCCUGAUUCAGAGGUCCAGAGAAGACCUGACUAGCCCAAGGGUGUCACCGUGUCUGGAUGCGAUGCCUGGAAGUGCUACAGCCACUCGCGCCCAGCCUGAAGAUGAAACCAACCCCAAACACAGCCAAGCAGAGAGAUGGAAAGAACUAGGACCCUAAUUACACCACUGAGCAGCUAUAGCAACCAGUUCCAGAGCCCUCUGACUUCCCGCCAAAGUGAGAUGAUAAGAUACUGUUUAAUUUCUCUCUUUUAUAGCCAAACACACCAAAAUUGACACAGAGAUGUGAGCCAUACCUACUACUGUUACUGCUCCAUCCCUAGCUCCAACCACAGUGCAUGGUACAUGGUAGAGAGCCAACAAACACUUGAAGAAUGAAUGGUGCAUAUUGAGUGGGAUUUUCCAGAGGCAGACCUGGAGACAAGGCUUCAAGUGCGUGUGUUGUAUUAAGGAAAUGCUCCCAGGGGACAAUAGCAGAGUGGCAGAAAUGGGACAAGGGGGCCAGGGAGCCAAGAACAGAGAAUCAAUCGUCUAAACAGAGCCCCCUGUUUUUUGUUUCACCUGGGAGUAGCUUCUACCUGAUCCCCAGGGGAACUCUGGGAUGUCAGUGACGGCUCAGCAUUGCCCCUGAGGCAAGGGAGCUGGGCUUUCCUAAUCCCCCACUCCUCAGUCUCUGGCUAAGCGCUGUCCCCAGGGGACUUAAUCACCCAAACACUUCCCCAAGAGUGGCAUCUGCUGACCACUGGAGGCACUGGUACAGUGAAGCGACAGAAGGGAUCAGAGAGGGUCCAGGUGGAGCACAGCAAUGUGGCUGAAUAAUAACUAUAUUAAUUCAUAUAGUUAAUUCUCAAGCAAUGGCAAAGUGUAGGCAGCUUCUUGUCUGCAAACGUUUCCAUGAUAUCUCUCCUGCAGCCAGACGGGUCUUUUCCUGCCGCCUACACAGAAUGGCCAU